GUUUAACUUUUUUUUCUUUCUCUCUCUCUUUUUUUUUUUUUUUUUAAAAAAGUUUAAAACAUACAAAGGGGAAAUGCUCUAAAUACAGCUCUGGGUAUGAGGCAGGGGGGAGGAGGCAGCUGCCGUGCAAAACCCGCUGCUGCUUACAGCAUGAGCAGCUGGGCAAAAGGGCUCUAGCAUGCUGCUUGAUGGGCAAGGAGAGCAAAUUGCAGAGAAAUCCUUCCAGGAAGGUAACUCCAGCUACAGGCAAGACAAGGACAUUGGUUAGGUGGGUCCAGCUCUGCAUGUUUCCUACACCUAUAUCCUCAAAGCUAGAAGGGGUUCUGUCUACCUGACUGACCCCACCAGCACCCUUUGGUGAGGAGUGGUUUUUGGCCUUCCUGCUCCUAAAUAUGUUAAAAAAAAUCUUUUUAAAAUAAAUCUUUUCUCAGCAAGUAACUGGUCUUUCAGGCAUAAGGGAACACCACUGCGCAGGACGGAUGCUCCCCUCAACCCCAUGGGGGAAAAGCACAGCAUCGGGACCAAUUUGCAUUUGUGGAAAGGAAAAAGACUCAAACCUCCUCCUUCCCAUGACAUACAGAGCACCAAGGACCUUCGGCUGGAAGUUUCAAUCCAACAGCAGCUGCGUUUCUUAAGAGCAAACGACAUUCACUUACUAAUGAAAACAGGAUUUAGGCUACACUGAGUAACUUUUUCCAUGAAAACCAUACAUCCUUCCACCACCAGGCAGCACAGAAUGUAACGAAGGCAUUUUCCAAAGGAAAGAAAACAAGGAGAAAGCCUCGUCCCUUUGUCACGGUAACCCUGCCUUCUGCUUUUGUACUGCAAUAGCAUCUAGGGGCCCCAGUUUCUCUGGGGACUCUUCUGGUCUCCAAGUUGCAUAUCCUUAUUUUCUAAGUGUCCCUUUUUUCCUCUAGGCACCUAGCACCCUGUGAAGGUUACCGAAUUUCUCUUUGCUUGCCCAGCUCUUCAGAGCAUGAGGUCUCAGAGGCUCAUUGCAAACACAUCUCACAGUCCUCAGUUUACAUUUUUGGGGACUGCUUCCAUGAGAGCAAUAGUAAAAGCUGCAAUUUCAGCAAC